UCGGUUAAAUAUUUUGAACAGUCACUAUCUUGUUAAACUUAAAAUACUUGUACCUUCCUUCUGAACAGCGGGAAUAUUCUUCCAUUUAUGCUCCUGCACGAAUCGUCCUUUCAGUGCACAGAAUGCAACGAAAUAAUACGUCGAGAAGAAGCAGAAGACAGAUGUAUGCACUGUAUGCCGAAGCAACCGGAGCAGGGAUUUGGAAUGGUUUACUGAGGAGCCGUCUGGUGGCGUUAAAAGAGUCGUAGAACUGAGCCAAAUGCAAAUGCCAGGCGACACGUGAGGCCCGCCCAUUGGCACGCCCCUUUUGGCAUCCAAUUUGCCAUUUAUUCAAUUUAAAUAUUCACACCAUUGUGUAAAGCGAACUCGUAUUAAAAAUAUCUGAGAUGGAAUAUCCGAGCUAGUAGACGCCGCUGAUGGCAUAAUAAGCCAAGGUGGAGUACAAAAGCCAGGAAAAUAGCAAAAUAAAGCGCAUUCGAGUAAAAUUGAACAAAAGUCAACAUAUCGCAAAAUGAAAUAAAUAUUUUUAUUAUUAUGUAAAUGGCACAAUGGAAUGAAAUUCAAUUAUAUUAAAUUUGUAUGCACAAAACGAGAAGAAUAGGACAACGUAUUUUCAUAUCUACCAUGCAAUUAUCGUAUUGUUUUU
ensembl:ncRNA lncRNA:CR44497 long non-coding RNA:CR44497